AUUGAACGCUGGCGGCAUGCCUUACACAUGCAAGUCGAACGGCAGCACGGGAGCAAUCCUGGUGGCGAGUGGCGAACGGGUGAGUAAUAUAUCGGAACGUGCCCAGUCGUGGGGGAUAACGUAGCGAAAGCUACGCUAAUACCGCAUACGAUCUAUGGAUGAAAGCGGGGGAUCGCAAGACCUCGCGCGAUUGGAGCGGCCGAUAUCAGAUUAGGUAGUUGGUGAGGUAAAGGCUCACCAAGCCGACGAUCUGUAGCUGGUCUGAGAGGACGACCAGCCACACUGGGACUGAGACACGGCCCAGACUCCUACGGGAGGCAGCAGUGGGGAAUUUUUGGGACAAUGGGCGCAAGCCUGAUCCAGCAAUGCCGCGUGCAGGAUGAAGGCCUCGGUUGUAAC
rnacentral:rRNA from 1 species